rnacentral:rRNA from 1 species
CACAAGCGAUGGGGUAUGUGGUUUAAUUCGAUGCAACGCGAAGAACCUUACCUGGUCUUGACAUCCCGGAGACCCUUAGGAAACUAGGGGGUGCUUCCAUCUGGAAGAAUCUGGAGACAGGUGCUGCAUGGCUGUCGUCAGCUCGUGUCGUGAGAUGUUGGGUUAAGUCCCGCAACGAGCGCAACCCUUGCCUUUAGUUGCCAGCAGUUCGGCUGGGCACUCUAAAGGGACUGCCGGUGUUAAACCGGAGGAAGGUGGGGAUGACGUCAAGUCCUCAUGGCCUUUAUGACCAGGGCUACACACGUACUACAAUGGCCGAUACAAAGGGCAGCGACACUGCGAGGUGAAGCCAAUCCCGUAAAAUCGGUCUCAGUCCGGAUUGGAGUCUGCAACUCGACUCCAUGAAGUUGGAAUCGCUAGUAAUCGUGGAUCAGCAUGCCACGGUGAAUACGUUCCCGGGCCUU